rnacentral:rRNA from 1 species
GACGAACCGUGCGAACGUUAUUCGGAAUCAUUGGGCUUAAAGGGCGUGUAGGCGGAUCGGCAAGUCGGGCGUGAAAUCCCUGGGCUCAACCCAGGAACUGCACUCGAAACUGCCUUUCUUGAGUGCAGGAGAGGAGAGUGGAAUUCCUAGUGUAGCGGUGAAAUGCGCAGAUAUCAGGAGGAACACCGAUGGCGAAGGCAGGAUCUCUGGGCAUUAACUGACGC